GUUAAGCCCAGAAAAGGCACUCUUACAAAUACACAACUUUGCCUGAAUGCUCUCCAAGCCGUCAAUCUCCGGGCUGCUCCAGGGCCGGGCACCAGGCCCAAUGGGAAGUCAUAUGGGCACGUGUCAAGUAUCUGGAGACAAUGGUGAAAGGCACUAUCUUAAUGGAUUAUCUCCUUUCUAAUGUGGACAGCCUGAGGACCACCUGGAACAUGAGAGCCUCCAUCUCCAUGGCAAUAAGCAAAGCAGACUGUUGUAAAAGGCCUUUCUGAACCUGGACUUUGCAUAAUAAUAGAGACUCCAGGGUAAUCUAAACCAAGGGCGAUCAUCCAAGUCACCUUGCCAGCCAAGCUUGAAAAAGAGCUGUCCAGAAAUAGCAAGAUGGCAGCCCCGUGGCCGGCGGUGAGCAAGUCUGCGUGAUAGCCCAGGGUGGGAGAGAAGUCCUUCCCUCCCUAACCCUUGUUCGUGGAACCAUAAAGGUCACAGAGCAAACAGGCUGGGAUCCUUUCCUCCUGUUCCUGUAAUGGUAUUAGCAACGACUCUUUCUUACUCAAUCGCACUCCCAAAGGAUUUUCAAUAAACUUUUUAUGUGCCAUAACUGUUACAUUAAAUA